GAUGAACGCUGGCGGCGUGCUUAACACAUGCAAGUCGAACGGAAAGGCUCCUGCUUGCCGGGGUACUCGAGUGGCGAACGGGUGAGUAACACGUGGGUGAUCUGCCCUGCACUUCGGGAUAAGCCUGGGAAACUGGGUCUAAUACCGGAUAGGACGAUGGUUUGGAUACCAUUGUGGAAAGUUUUUCGGUGUGGGAUGAGCUCGCGGCCUAUCAGCUUGUUGGUGGGGUAAUGGCCUACCAAGGCGUCGACGGGUAGCCGGCCUGAGAGGGUGUACGGCCACAUUGGGACUGAGAUACGGCCCAGACUCCUACGGGAGGCAGCAGUGGGGAAUAUUGCACAAUGGGCGCAAGCCUGAUGCAGCGACGCCGCGUGGGGGAUGACGGCCUUCGGGUUGUAAACUCCUUUCGCUAGGGACGAAGCGCAAGUGACGGUACCUGGAGAAGAAGCACCGGCUAACUACGUG
rnacentral:rRNA from 1 species